UCUGGACCUGAUUUUUCAGGUAUGAAGAUUCACCAUUUUAGGAAGAGUCAAAGUAGGGUGUGUGUAUGCAUCACUACUAAAAAGCAGACCGGAGGUUUUUGGUACUGUUGGUGCUGCACAAACGUGAAUAAGGACAUGUUUUGAAAGACAAGUUAGGACCUGAGCCACUUACCACGGAGGAUGCCAAGGAACCAACUGGCUGCUUUUGUUCUUAGCUGUGAGAUGCCUUCAGCGUUUUCAGCAGAGGAGGAAGGGCCGCAAGUAAAAGAAGCUGAGAAGCCUCUGCUCCAAACCCAGCUAAGGAGCCAUUAGAGGGACAAUAGCUGCGCCUCUGCGAUUAAUAUAUGAAAGAACUGAGAUAAGAGCUGAGCUGGGGAAGCAGAGCAGUGCUGGUGGUUGGCAAGGAAGAAGGGGAAUAAGGUGUCCUAGCAGAAGUUUCCCUGCAACCCAUGGCGAGAUGGCAGCUGUCCCCCUGCACUCAUGGAGGAGCACGGCAGAGCAUCCCCUGAAGGCGCCAGGAGGGGCGAAUGUGUACCUGCAGCCCCUGGACCUGGAUCUGCAGCAGUGGAGGACCAUGUGCCAGGGGAGAUGACUGUUCCUGAAGCAGCCUGUGAGUCUGUGGGAAGCCCAUGCUGGAGAAGCAGCAUCCUGACAGACUGCACCUUGCAAGAACUCAUGAAGGAGAGGUUCAUGAAGGACUGUCUCCCAUGAGAGGGACCUCAUGGGGAAACAGGGAAGGACUGUAAGGAACCUGUCUCCCUGAGGAGGAAGGAGCAGCAGGAACCACCAGCCUGUGAACUAAUUCUAAACCCCAUCCCCUGUCCCCCUGUGCCGCUGGGGGGAAGGAGGGAGAGAAACCGGGAACAAAGUAAUUUGGGCCUGGGAAGAAGGAAGGGGUGGGGUAAUAUAUGCAAGCCCUGCUCUGUGUGUUGUUUGUGUCCUGUGUGUGU